AUGCCUAGAUCCCGUGUAAAUGGAAAUUUCAUUGAUAAGACCUCCUCAAUUGUAGCCAAUAUUUUAUUGCGAAUAAUUCCGACAACCUCAGGAGAAAAAAAGGCAUUUACUUAUUAUAGAGAUGGGAUGUUGGCUCAAUCCGAAGGAAAUUAUGCGGAAGCUUUGCAAAAUUAUUAUGAAGCUACGCGACUAGAAAUCGAUCCCUAUGAUCGAAGUUAUAUACUCUAUAACAUAGGCCUUAUACACACAAGCAAUGGAGAGCAUACAAAGGCUUUGGAAUAUUAUUUCCGGGCACUAGAACGAAACCCCUUCUUACCGCAAGCUUUUAAUAAUAUGGCCGUGAUCUGUCAUUACAUGCGACUAUCUCCACUAUAG
rnacentral:rRNA from 1 species